GGGAGGGGUAAGACCUGGCGGCGGCACCGGGACCCCCGCCCGGCUCGGGGCCCGAGUGGGGUUCUGUCGGGACUCGGGCGCUGAACGCCUUCCGGGAGCGGCCGCCCCUCCCCCUGGGAGUGGUUGGGAGGAAGCAAGGGCCGUCUCGGGGCUGGGGCUGUCGGCGAAGUUUCGGACCCCAUUCACGGUGCGCGUGAAGCCCCGCGAAGCCCGCGUGGCCCUGGCGGCUCGUGUCGGGAGUGGACCGGGCGGGGGAGGAGGCGCUCGGGAACUACCACGGGGGGCGCUGUGCCGGCGCUCUGCGGCCUCCGGGGCCCCUCCGCUGGGAGGCGAACGGAAAAAAGUCAGUGGUCUCACGGACUCCACAGUGUGUGGUCUCCCUGCUAGGGGACGCUGCCCAGGGCAGUUCCCUCCACGGACAGGACCGACCGUGCAGCCCGAUUUAAAAUGGCAGCAGAGUAUCUCCGGGAAAGUGAUAAGCGUGGAGGCACAAGUAAGUGUGUGCCUGACGUUGCAAUCCUAAAGUGAAAACCAUGGUGGGAACCCAGGUUGAAGGUGAUCAAACUGAACGGCCCGAGAAGGAAAAAUUAUCAACAAGUAUGUUGUAGUUACAGAUGCAGCAGGAAGAAACUUCCUUAUGGAACAUUAUAGAAAUACUGAGCCAAGGCAAACAGAUUCCAACAGAGCAACCACUCAUGAAGAAUCCAGGAUGCAAACCCAGUCCCUUUCUCACUAGAAGCUACACUUCGGGCAUUUGAAAUAAAAACUUCUACUUAAAAAAAUAAUUUAUAAAGACUUUGGGGAUGGAGAGAGAGGGAAUUAAAAAGGGGAAAUGAGCAUAAAAGAGAUGACAAGUAAAUGCCCCAAAAUAAAGCUUAACAAUAUUAAAAUAAGCAA